ensembl:snRNA U6 U6 spliceosomal RNA
GUGCUUGCUUCGGCAGCACAUAUACUAAAAUUGGAAUGGUACAGAGAAGAUUAGCAUGGCACCUGCAUAAGGAUGACACACAAAUUUGUGAAGGGUUCUAUAUUUUU